GAUCAUUACCUUUUAUCGGGGAGCUGUAGUUUACUAUAUGCUCCUGUCUGGACCCAUGUCUAUUGCGUACUUAUGUUUCCUCGGCGGACUUGUUCCGCCGAUUGGACUCUUCAAAACCUUUUGUAAUUGUAAUCAGCGUCUGAAAAAUAUUUAAUAUUUACAACUUUCAACAACGGAUCUCUUGGUUCUGGCAUCGAUGAAGAACGCAGCGAAAUGCGAUAAGUAGUGUGAAUUGCAGAAUUCAGUGAAUCAUCGAAUCUUUGAACGCACAUUGCGCCCCUUGGUAUUCCAUGGGGCAUGCCUGUUCGAGCGUCAUUUGUACCCUCAAGCUCUGCUUGGUGUUGGGUGUUUGUCAUAUCCUUUGCGGUUUGACUCGCCUUAAAUUUAUUGGCAGCCGGCGUAUUGGCCUAGGAGCGCAGCACAUUUUGCGAUCGUAGCCUGUAUACUAGCAUCCAUUAAGCCUCAAUUAUCACUUUUGACCUCGGAUCAGGUAGGGAUACCCGCUGAACUUAAGCAUAUCAAUAAGCGGAGGAAAAGAAACCAACAGGGAUUGCCCUAGUAACGGCGAGUGAAGCGGCAACAGCUCAAAUUUGAAAUCUGGCUCUUUCAGAGUCCGAGUUGUAAUUUGCAGAGGGCGCUUUGGCGUUGGCAGCGGUCCAAGUUCUUUGGAACAGGACGUCACAGAGGGUGAGAAUCCCGUACGUGGUCGCUAGCCUUCGCCGUGUAAAGCCCCUUCGACGAGUCGAGUUGUUUGGGAAUGCAGCUCUAAAUGGGAGGUAAAUUUCUUCUAAAGCUAAAUACUGGCCAGAGACCGAUAGCGCACAAGUAGAGUGAUCGAAAGAUGAAAAGCACUUUGGAAAGAGAGUCAAAUAGCACGUGAAAUUGUUGAAAGGGAAGCGCUUGCAGCCAGACUUGCUUGUAGUUGCUUACCUAGACUUUUGUCUGGGGCACUCUUCUGCAAGCAGGCCAGCAUCAGUUUGGGCGGUUGGAUAAAGGUCUCUGUCAUGUACCUCUCUUCGGGGAGGCCUUAUAGGGGAGACGACAUACAACCAGCCUGGACUGA
rnacentral:misc_RNA from 1 species